CGCAUCUGUGCAUGCAGCAUAUCAAUAAGCGGAGGAAAAGAAACUAACAAGGAUUCCCCUAGUAACGGCGAGUGAAGCGGGAAGAGCUCAAAUUUGAAAUCUUAAAGGGUUUCCCUUUACGAAUUGUAGUUUAAAGAAGUGUUUUCUGUUGAGGUUUUGGUAAAAGUUCUUUGGAAUAGGACAUCAUAGAGGGUGAGAAUCCCGUAUUUGACCUUUACUUUCAACUUUGUGAUACACUUUCAAAGAGUCGGAUUGUUUGGGAAUGCAGUCCAAAAUGGGUGGUAAAUUUCAUCUAAAGCUAAAUAUAGGCGAGAGACCGAUAGCGAACAAGUACCGUGAGGGAAAGAUGAAAAGAACUUUGAAAAGAGAGUUAAACAGUACGUGAAAUUGUCAAAAGGGAAGCGUUUGACACCAGUGUUGUUUUUCUGAAAAUCAAUUAAAGAACUGAUUAUGCUAAGUUGUUUAGACUUUAUCAGCUAACUGUUUAGUUUUGAGCUUUUCUUUAAUGCACUUUUCAGUUAACAAGUCAACAUCAAUUUCUUUUGCUGUAAAAAAGCUUGAGGAAGGUGGCUUGAGAUUCGUCUUAAGUGUUUAUAGCCUCUUGCCUAUGCAGUCGGAGAGAUUGAGGUCUGCAGCGUAGAUCCUUCGGGGCUAAAUGCAUUUGUGCUAAGUUAUAACAUUUUAUAGACAACUUGUAGACUAUGAUUUGUCUUGUAGCUUACUCGCUUAUGUUAUUUUACCUACGCUUAGGAUGUUGAACGCGCACAGAGUCUC
rnacentral:rRNA from 1 species